AAGGUAGCAUAAUCAUUAGUUUUUUAAUUGAAAGCUUGAAUGAAGGGUUGGAUGAGAAAAUAACUGUCUCUAUUUAAAUUUAUUAGAAUUUUAUUUUUAAGUAAAAAAGCUUAAAUGAAUAUUGAAGACGAGAAGACCCUAUAGAGUUUUAUAUUUUUAAUUAUUAAAUAUUUUAGUAUUGUAAAAGUCAAUAAUUAAAUUUAUUUAGUUGGGGUGAUUGGAAAAUUUAAUUAACUUUUUCUUUAUUUAAACAUUGAUUUGUGGGUAAUUGAUCCUUUUUUAAAGAUUAUAAGAUAAAAUUAC
rnacentral:rRNA from 1 species